rnacentral:rRNA from 1 species
UGGGGAAUAUUGCACAAUGGGCGCAAGCCUGAUGCAGCAACGCCGCGUGAGGGAUGAAGGCCUUCGGGUUGUAAACCUCUUUUAGCAGGGAAGAAGCGAAAGUGACGGUACCUGCAGAAAAAGCACCGGCUAACUACGUGCCAGCAGCCGCGGUAAUACGUAGGGUGCAAGCGUUGUCCGGAAUUAUUGGGCGUAAAGAGCUCGUAGGCGGUUUGUCACGUCUGCUGUGAAAAUCCAAGGCUCAACCUUGGACUUGCAGUGGGUACGGGCAGGCUAGAGUGCGGUAGGGGGAGAUGGGAAUUCCUGGUGUAGCGGUGGAAUGCGCAGAUAUCAGGAGGAACACCAAUGGCGAAGGCACAUCUCUGGGCCGUAACUGACGCUGAGGAGCGAAAGCGUGGGGAGCGAACAGGAUUAGAUACCCUGGUAGUCCACGCCGUAAACGGUGGGUGCUAGCUGUGGGCCACAUUCCACGUGGUCCGUGACGAAGUUAACACAUUAAGCACCCCGCCUGGGGAGUACGGCCGCAAGGCUA